CCGACUUGGAUGCAGGAAGGAAGCGCAGGUGGCCUCUUACCCGGAUCCUCCCCUCCAGGGCCGAGACGACCUCUCCCAUCAUCCUCACCAGGUCCUCGUACUUGUAGGUGUUGUCCGUGAGCCACACGGCCUCGCGGAUGGUCAGGAUCUCUCUGCUGAUGAACCUGCAGGGUCGAGAAGGGGUCUGAGUGCGGAGCCCACCCCUCCCCAUGGGGCGGUCACUUUGGGCUUGAGCGACUGGGGGGGCCACCAAGGGGACCUCCAAAGGCCGCAGGAACUGCGGGGCUCGCAGGCGUUUCUGUGAAACGCACCCACGAGUGAUGUGACCAUCAGUCCUCAGGGACCCGAGGGGUGAGGGCUGGCCCUGCCUUGCGCCGGCUCCUGUGGCAAGAGCAUCAGCCGCUUCAAGCCAGAGGGCAGGGGAGCUGGGAAAAGCAGAGCCCGAGGCAGUCUAAAGCAGUGCCAACUGUCAGGGAACACGGCAGCCCAGCGAGGGCGGACUGGGCCAAGCCCUCGGCCACUGUCACGGGGACUCUGCAGCUCCCACGGUUGCGACUGGCUUAGCCAAGAGAGAGGACAGGAGCCGGGGUAUCUGCAGCCCGUCUGGUCCGGUGCCUCGGCCCCUGACUGCAAGGACAGGAGCACGCCGUGUGGAUGCAAGGAGGCUGAGGACCCAUCUGUUCAGCUCCUCUGGCGACAAGCCCUGGAACCCUGGGUUCCCAGAGCACAGUGGGAGGCACUGGACAGCGUGUGGCAAUCUGCUCACUGACCCUGAGCCCGUGCUCCCUCUGCCUGCGGACACACGGCCAUCCAGAGGCCACAUUUUCCAGUUCCCGUUGUGGCCACAUGGCUGAGCUCCCUGCAGAGGUGGUCGUGGCGGGUAGCAGGGAGCGAGACAGGAACCGGGGCUCCUUCAUGACCUCAAGAAACACAAGGAGUGUCCCAGCGACCCAGGCCUCUGGGUCACUGGGUGAGACACACCCAGCUCCUCGGUUUCUACCACCGUGUGUGGUGAGUCUGCUCCUCACCCCCCGAGCCUCACAGACCAGGGUGUGGUCGGGGAAGCCCUAUGCAGGGGAGAUGCAGGCAAGGUCUGGUUUAGGAAAACAAGAAAAUGCAAAAUGCACGGUGGGCCCUGCCAUCCACAUGGCUUCCAAAGGCAAAACUGAGGGAAGGUAUUUAGUUAAAGGAAGGUAGAGUUUUUUGUUUUGGUUUUGGUCUCUUGUCUUUUUAA